CUCAGGAUACAUAUGACUACGUUGAAAUACAACAGUACGUAGGCUGAUUUCACAUCACGCCACUAUUGCAACCGGCACUCCCACCAGACCAUGACUCUUCAGUUUGACAACGGGUGUUGACGGCAAAACUGAAAAGGUAUCAUAUUUUUGAAGAUAACCAAGGAUGGUAUAUUUGUAUAGCCUAUUUGUUAUAAAUGCACAUCUGUGCGUAUUUGUGCAUGGUUUUGUCUGCGUGUGUUCUAUCGACGCGUUUGCCCUGCAGUAAGGUGUUUCACUCCAGAUCAAGAAAAAGGGUUAAUCUCUCCCAUUCACCUAUCUCACGGGUGCCGGCUCUUAUCAAGAAGUUCUGCGUUGGGUUCCAUGACAUCCUCGUGCUUCCGGACAUCUCUAGGAGAUCUCAGCCCGAAGCGUCCUGAGAGGCACCAGUGAGACGCCAGUGAGGAACCAGUGAGGCGCCCUGACAACUGGUCCUUCUUUAUCUAAAAGACCAACGACAGACAGAACCACUUGAAUUAACAUGAACCACAGAAUAAAAAAUCUGUUUGUGCGUGUUUGUGUGCGUCAUGCCAAUUGGAAGGAGAUGUGUGUGUCCCAGUGUUCACUACUUGGCCCGGCUAGACUCCCUGUCACAUGAGCUGAGGCCUUCAGUUCUAAUGGUCAGAGGGAACCUAGAGAGUGUUCUCACGUUCUACUGCCAGCGAUCUGAUCCCUCUCACAUUCUACUGCUGCCCUCUGUAAUCAAGUCCAUAGCUUUGGUGAAACAUAUAUUUAAGAUGCUGAAUGCCGAUUCUCUAUCAUUAAUUUAAGUUCACAUCUUUUUUCACAAUAAUAGCAGAUGAGUGUUGUGUUAUUAUGCUGAAAAGGUAACCGUCCUGCCCAAACAUAAUAUUAUGGCCUUUUUCAUUGGAUGGUCACUGCAUUUGGGUUGCUUGAUUUAUUCAUUUUAAUGUCUAUUGUACGGAACAGGGUUAGGGCGAUUUGAUUCAUUUUUUUAUUUUGAAUAAAGUCAGAAUUAUUAUAAAUCUAAAUAAAUGCAUUCUCAGAAUUCAGAUGUUAUUCUCAGAACUCAAAUAUGAGAAUAAAAUCAGAAUUCAGAUGUUAUUCUUAGAACUCAAUUAUGAGAAUAAAAUCAGAAUUCUGAGAAUAAAACCUCGAAUUUAUUCUUAGAAUUCUGAUUUAAUUCUCAGAAUUCUCAGAGCUAGGCCUAUAAAAAUAUCACAUGUGGCCCUAAUUCUUCCGUAUUAUUGUAUUUCUUGAUUUACACAUGAAAAAUAUUAACUUGAACCAAUUCAUAUUUCUUACAACUUAAUUUACUUCACCCGAACGAUUUUCUUAUAUUUCUUUACUUUUA
ensembl:lncRNA